AUAUCCCCUCGUAUUCUUGGUCUCUUAAUCUACCAUCCUCCGUGAAACCACCAACCCGCCCACUUCUGCGGCUCUUCUCGCUCCGGGCCCAUAUAGACAGGGCUUGGUUAUACUGAAACUAUACCUGGCAUUUGGUUCCUACCUCAGGGCCAUCUCACCAAGAUCGUGUCCACGUUCCUCUUAAAUAAGACAUCACGAUGGUGUGGCGCUAUCACCCUCUUAACCGCGUCACUGGAUGCAUAGGUGGCUCUGGGUAGGAAAGGAAUGUUCAUUACAGAAAUAUGAAG